GAGCUUCGGCGCAAGUGAAAUACC
rnacentral:siRNA from 1 species